CGAGCAAGCAUACAGGUAAAAAGAUCAAUUAUUUAUCAUUUAACAUUAUUUAAUUACUUCCCUACGACCAAUUCAGAGGAUUUUUAUUAAAUUAUUUAUUUCUUAUUUAAGGAUUUACAGUAUUUUCUACAUAAUGAGCUCAUUUUACUGCUGAUACUUACCUCACUGGAGUACAUGUAUUAUCUUGUAUGUUACAGAAUGUAUCACUAUAUGACAUACCGCCGGUGAGAUUCUGCCGGGGAAUACUUGCACAACAGCAUCCAUCUUGUUUGGUUCUUCCACCGACUGCUGAGUGGAGCUGGGACUUUGAAAGGUUCCUCAUCAACAUUGUCUUGACACGAAGAGUAGAGUCUCGGUCAAGAGUCCAGUAACAUACUCUGCAAAAAAUAUGUUUUAUAAUCAAGCAUUAUAUAUAAUAUAUAAUAUGUGUAUGUAUAUGUGUAUCUGUAUCUUAUAUAUCAAUAUUGCGCCUGCAUGGACUUGUGUGGUGUGACUGUGGAGAGGGGAUCCGUCUGCACAGCAAUUUCAUUCUGACAUGUCUGAAAUGUACAGAAUUGUAUUGCAUGUUUAUACAUGUCUGCGUAAAGAAAAUAUCUAAUAACAUUCAUAAUAAAAGAUGUGGUUGAAUUGAUUGAGAGAGCAAUGAUAUCAAAUUAAACAAAUAUAUGAAUUAUGUACAUGCAUGUGGUGAUUGUAUGUUUAACACAUCAUGUGCAGGUCUACUGGUACUACAACUGUAAUGUACAGACGACGUACAGUCUGUAUACUUACUGGUGUACACACAGCUUCCUCCCCAGUGUGGAUGUCCAAUAGAUGGUCGCUGAUCAUACAGGUAUCCUCAGUUCUGUCAGUGGCUUCAUUCACCAAUGUUUCAAUACCUCUGUAAUAAUAGGGUGAUAGUUAAAAGUUAAAUCGACUCACGCUUUUACUCAAACUACAGAAUAAAAUGGGGAAGCCUGUUAUAAACAUUGAAUCUAUACUUAAUUAAGCUAAAUGUGGUUUAACUUAUCAUCUAAGGAUACUUAGUCAUAUUAAAAUAAAAUAAACAUCAAUGCUGUGACAUGCUGUGAUUUUCUUCUAAAUAAAAAAUGUUAUUCAAGAAAAGAUGAUGAAGCUAAAUUAGGUC
rnacentral:lncRNA from 1 species